AUUAACGAGUAACGUCCCCCGGGGUCACACCCGGGGGACCAACCUCCCACCCAUUGCGAAUCAUACCUUUGUUGCUUUGGCGGGCCGUGGCCUCGCUGCCACCGCUGGCCGUUCGGCUGGCGAGCGCCCGUCAGAGACCCCCGAAACUCCACGUAUCGGUGACGUCUGAGUCAAAAUUUAAUGACAUAAAACUUUCAACAACGGAUCUCUUGGUUCUGGCAUCGAUGAAGAACGCAGCGAAAUGCGAUAAGUAAUGUGAAUUGCAGAAUUCAGUGAAUCAUCGAAUCUUUGAACGCACAUUGCGCCCUCUGGUAUUCCGGGGGGCAUGCCUGUUCGAGCGUCAUGAUCAACAUCAAGCUCAGCUUGGUCUUGGGUGACCGUCCCCUGGGACGCACCUGGAAAUCAGCGGCGGUGCGGCCGAGACACCAGCGUAGUAACUACUCCCGCUCGGUGGCCUCGGGUGCGUCAGCCGGACGACCCCUCAUCAUAUUCACGUUUGACCUCGGAUCAGGUAGGGAUACCCGCUGAACUUAAGCAUAUCA
rnacentral:rRNA from 1 species